rnacentral:rRNA from 1 species
AGAAUCAACGCUGGCGGCGUGCCUAACACAUGCAAGUCGAACGAGAAAGUGGAGCAAUCCAUGAGUAAAGUGGCGCACGGGUGAGUAACACGUGACUAACCUACCCUUGAGUGGGGGAUAACCUAGGGAAACCUGGGCUAAUACCGCAUAAUACCUUCGGGUCAAAGGAGCAAUUCGCUUAAGGAGGGGGUCGCGGCCGAUUAGUUAGUUGGCGGGGUAAUGGCCCACCAAGACUGUGAUCGGUAUCCGGCCUGAGAGGGCGCACGGACACACUGGAACUGAAACACGGUCCAGACUCCUACGGGAGGCAGCAGUGGGGAAUUUUGCGCAAUGGGGGAAACCCUGACGCAGCAACGCCGCGUGGAGGAUGAAGUCCCUUGGGACGUAAACUCCUUUCGAUCGGGACGAUUAUGACGGUACCGAAGAAGAAGCCCGGCUAACUUCGCGCCAGCAGCCGC